CCCUUAGAUGUUCUGGGCUGCACGCGCGCUACACUGAAGCGUUCAACGAGUAUUCACCUUGCCCGGGAGGGUUGGGUAAUCUUUUGAAAACGCUUCGUGAUGGGGAUAGAUUAUUGCAAUUAUUAAUCUUCAACGAGGAAUUCCUAGUAAGCGCGAGUCACCAGCUCGUGCUGAUUACGUCCCUGCCCUUUGUACACACCGCCCGUCGCUCCUACCGAUUGAGUGGUCCGGUGAGGCCUCGGGAUUGUGGCCAGUUUCCUUCAUUGGGAGUUGGCUGCGAGAACUUGUCCAAACCUUAUCAUUUAGAGGAAGGUGAAGUCGUAACA
rnacentral:rRNA from 1 species